GCUGGAUAAUGCAGUGGUAGUGUUGUUGCCCUUCAAACAACAGAUCGGGGGUUCGAAUCCCCGUCAGGGCA